GACUCAGUAACGAAGCUAACGCGUGAAGUUGACCGCCUNGGGGAGUACGGCCGCAAGGUUGAAACUCAAAGGAAUUGACNGNGGACCCGCACAAGCGGUGGAUGAUGUGGUCUAAUUCGAUGCAACGCGAAAAACCUUACCCACCUNUGACAUGUACGGAAUCCUUUAGAGAUAGAGGAGUGCUCGAAAGAGAGCCGUAACACAGGUGCUGCAURGCUGUCGUCAGCUCGUGUCGUGAGAUGUUGGGUUAAGUCCCGCAACRAGCGCAACCCUUGCCAUUAGUUGCUACGAAAGGGCACUCUAAUGGGACUGCCGGUGACAAACCGGAGGAAGGUGGGGAUGACGUCAAGUCCUCAUGGCCCUUAUAGGUGGGGCUACACACGUCAUACAAUGGCUGGUACAGAGGGUUGCCAACCCGCGAGGGGGAGCUAAUCCCAUAAAGCCAGUCGUAGUCCGGAUCGCAGUCUGCAACUCGACUGCGUGAAGUCGGAAUCGCUAGUAAUCGCGGAUCAGAAUGUCGCGGUGAAUACGUUCCCGGGUCUUGUACACACCGCCCACCAUGGGAGCGGGUUCUGCCAGAAGUAGGUAGCCUAACCGUAAGGAGG
rnacentral:rRNA from 1 species